rnacentral:snRNA from 1 species
GCAACCACCUUGCAGGAGAGAUACCAUGAUGACAAAGGUGACUUUUCCCAGGGUAAGAAUUAUUCAUUGUACUCUGGCUCCCCUGACCCCAGUAAUUUCUCCACGUGAUGGAAAUCUGAGUGCAUAAUUCAUGGUAGUAGGACACUGGUUCUUU